UAAACGACUCUCGGCAACGGAUAUCUCGGCUCUCGCAUCGAUGAAGAACGUAGCGAAAUGCGAUACUUGGUGUGAAUUGCAGAAUCCCGUGAACCAUCGAGUCUUUGAACGCAAGUUGCGCCCGAAGCCGUUAGGCCGAGGGCGCGUCUGCCUGGGCGUCACAC
rnacentral:rRNA from 1 species